rnacentral:rRNA from 1 species
GAUCAUGGCUCAGGAUGAACGCUAGCUACAGGCUUAACACAUGCAAGUCGAGGGGCAGCAUGAACUUAGCUUGCUAAGUUUGAUGGCGACCGGCGCACGGGUGAGUAACGCGUAUCCAACCUGCCCACCACUUGGGGAUAACCUUGCGAAAGUAAGACUAAUACCCAAUGAUAUCUCUAGAAGACAUCUGAAAGAGAUUAAAGAUUUAUCGGUGAUGGAUGGGGAUGCGU